rnacentral:rRNA from 1 species
AAGUCGAACGAAGUAGCAAUACUUAGUGGCAGACGGGUGAGUAACAUGUAGGUAUCUACCCUUUGGCCUGGAAUAACACGAGGAAACUUGUGCUAAUACCGGAUAAGUCUUUACGGAGAAAGCUUUAUGCACCAUUGGAUGAGCCUGCACUUGAUUAGUUUGUUGGUGGGGUAAUGGCCUACCAAGACUGUGAUCAAUAGCUGAUUUGAGAGGAUGAUCAGCCACAUUGGGACUGAGACACGGCCCAAACUCCUACGGGAGGCAGCAGUGGGGAAUCUUGCACAAUGGAGGAAACUCUGAUGCAGCGAUGCCGCGUGAGUGAAGAAGGCCCUUGGGUUGUAAAGCUCUUUCGUCGGGGAAGAAAAUGACUGUACCCGAAUAAGAAGGUCCGGCUAACUUCGUGCCAGCAGCCGCGGUAAUACGAAGGGACCUAGCGUAGUUCGGAAUUACUGGGCUUAAAGAGUUCGUAGGUGGUUGAAAAAGUUGGUGGUGAAAUCCCAGAGCUUAACUCUGGAACUGCCAUCAAAACUUUUCAGCUAGAGUUUGAUAGAGGAAAGCAGAA